AUAAUGCAGUUAAGGCUUCUCUCCGUCUUCACGGAAUUUUAAGACCAAUCAGAGGCGGUUGCUAGGCGGACCAGAGUGGCCCGACCAAUCAGCGUUUUUCUGCAAACGUUGGCUGACGUAUGUCGUCAUUGGUGCGACGUAUCUCGUCAUUGGUCAUGGCCUUUUGGGAGGAGCGCAGAGAGGCGGAGUCGGAAAACAGAUUUAAACCAGUUUUGAAACGUUGCCUCUGUUUGCUAGUACUGUGAGAAAACGUCGUUACGGGAGAGGUCUGGAUGCCAAAUCAAACUCCGGAGCUGGCUUUUGUUAUUUACGAAGAGGCCUGGGUGCUAAAACAAACUCUGGAACUGUUUUUUUGUCGAACACGAGUGAGACUGGACGCUGAACACACCUGCGGCGCGAAGGUUUACUGGUUCAGCUGCUGCAGCCUGGACAGAGACACCAGCUCUCACCUGACAAACCAAACAGGAUUCAAAAUUAAACCAUUAAAUCACAGAGAGAAGAGACAGACAUGAAGACAUUUCCAGGAGGUCUUCGCCUGCUGUCGUCUUCUCCUCCUGCAGAGACAAGAACACGUGUUAAUCACAGAAACUGAUCAGUAAAUCAAAGUAUUUCUAUGACAUACUCUUUUUAUGCCUUACUUCUAAGACUAUUUUUGCCAGUUUUUGACACUUCUCUAUAUUAUAAUGUUAUGGAAAUUUUCCGGCCUGCCUGUAGAGAGUCAAAGAACAAGACUGGCAAGGUAGCAACUGAGUAAACACUUGGGGUACAAUAAAAGACAGUUGUGACCUCUCUCAGGAAUUUACAACUGGUGUAAUCACCUGUGCUGAUGAAGAUACCAUUUGCCAUCUUCCUC